rnacentral:rRNA from 1 species
AGCGAACGUUAGCGGCGGGCUUAACACAUGCAAGUCGAGCGAGAAAGGGGCUUCGGCCCUGAGUACAGCGGCGGACGGGUGAAUAACACGUAGGUAACCUUCCUUUCAGCGGGGGACAACGGUCCGAAAGGACCGCUAAUACCGCAUACGUUCCCUGGGACCUCGGUCCCGGGGAGGAAAGGCCCGCAAGGGCCACUGGAUGAGGGGCCUGCGUAGCAUCAGCUAGUUGGUGGGGUAAUGGCCUACCAAGGCAAAGACGCUUAGCUGGUCUGAGAGGAUGAUCAGCCACACUGGAACUGAGACACGGUCCAGACUCCUACGGGAGGCAGCAGUGGGGAAUAUUGGACAAUGGGCGCAAGCCUGAUCCAGCCAUGCCGCGUGGGUGAAGAAGGCCUUCGGUUGUAAGCCUUUGUCCGGAAGAAAGACACGGGAUUAAUACCCUCGUGUGAUGACGGUACCGGAAGAAUAAGCACCGGCUAACUUCGUG